rnacentral:rRNA from 1 species
UGGUCAAGUUAUUAAGGGUGCAGGGCGGAUGCCUUGGCACUAGGAGCCGAUGAAGGACGUGAUAAGCUGCGAUAAGCUUCGGGGAGUUGCACGUAAACUUUGAUCCGAAGAUUUCCGAAUGAGGAAACUCACUUAGAGUAAUGUCUAAGUAUCAUUAAGUGAAUACAUAGCUUAAUGAGGGGAACUCAGGGAACUGAAACAUCUAAGUACCUGAAGGAAGAGAAAGAAAUUCGAUUCCGUAAGUAGCGGCGAGCGAACGCGGAUUAGCCCAAACCAAUAAAGUUUUCUUUAUUGGGGUUGCGGACAUAUC